rnacentral:rRNA from 1 species
AUUGAACGCUGGCGGCAUGCUUUACACAUGCAAGUCGAACGGUAACAGGUUAAGCUGACGAGUGGCGAACGGGUGAGUAAUGCAUCGGAACGUGCCCGAUCGUGGGGGAUAACGCAGCGAAAGCUGCGCUAAUACCGCAUACGAUCUGAGGAUGAAAGCGGGGGACCGUAAGGCCUCGCGCGAUCGGAGCGGCCGAUGUCAGAUUAGGUAGUUGGUGGGGUAAAGGCUCACCAAGCCGACGAUCUGUAGCUGGUCUGAGAGGACGACCAGCCACACUGGGACUGAGACACGGCCCAGACUCCUACGGGAGGCAGCAGUGGGGAAUUUUGGACAAUGGGCGCAAGCCUGAUCCAGCAAUGCCGCGUGCAGGAAGAAGGCCUUCGGGUUGUAAACUGCUUUUGUACGGAGCGAAAAGGCUCCCUCUAAUACAGGGGGCUCAUGACGGUACCGUAAGAAUAAGCACCGGCUAACUACGUGCCAGCCGCCGCGGUAAGAC